rnacentral:rRNA from 1 species
UACGUAGGGGGCAAGCGUUGUCCGGAAUCAUUGGGCGUAAAGAGCGCGUAGGCGGCCCUGUAAGUCCGCUGUGAAAGUCAAGGGCUCAACCCUUGAAUGCCGGUGGAUACUGCAGGGCUAGAGUCCGGAAGAGGCGAGCGGAAUUCCUGGUGUAGCGGUGAAAUGCGCAGAUAUCAGGAGGAACACCGAUGGCGAAGGCAGCUCGCUGGGACGGUACUGACGCUGAGGCGCGAAAGCGUGGGGAGCAAACAGG